GAUGAACGCUAGCUACAGGCUUAACACAUGCAAGUCGAGGGGAAACGGCAUCGAAAGCUUGCUUUUGAUGGGCGUCGACCGGCGCACGGGUGAGUAACGCGUAUCCAACCUGCCCAUCACUUGGGAAUAACCUUGCGAAAGUAAGACUAAUGCCCAAUGACAUCCCACGAAGGCAUCCGAAUGGGAUUAAAGAUUUAUCGGUGAUGGAUGGGGAUGCGUCUGAUUAGCUUGUUGGCGGGGUGACGGCCCACCAAGGCAACGAUCAGUAGGGGUUCUGAGAGGAAGGUCCCCCACAUUGGAACUGAGACACGGUCCAAACUCCUACGGGAGGCAGCAGUGAGGAAUAGUGGUCAAUGGGCGAGAGCCUGAACCAGCCAAGUAGCGUGCAGGAGGACGGCCCUAUGGGUUGUAAACUGCUUUUAGAAGGGAAUAAAGUGGGUCACGUGUGACUUUUUGCAUGUACCUUAUGAAUAAGGACCGGCUAAUUCCGUG
rnacentral:rRNA from 1 species